rnacentral:rRNA from 1 species
UGAGGAAUCUUGCGCAAUGGGGGAAACCCUGACGCAGCCACGCCGCGUGCUGGAAGACGGCCCUAUGGGUUGUAAACAGCUUUUGAUGGGGAAGAACCUGGGCCUUUCGAGGCCCACUGACGGUACCCAUCGAAUAAGCACCGGCUAACUCCGUGCCAGCAGCCGCGGUAAUACGGAGGGUGCAAGCGUUGUCCGGAAUCAUUGGGUGUAAAGGGUGCGCAGGCGGAAGUCUAAGUCGGAGGUGAAAUCUUGCCGCUUAACGGUAAAAGUGCCUUCGAUACUGGAUUUCUUGAGUUCGGAAGAGGUCGGUGGAAUUCGUGGUGUAGCGGUGAAAUGCAUAGAUAUCACGAAGAACACCAGUGGCGAAGGCGGCCGACUGGUCCGAUACUGACGCUGAGGCACGAGAGCGUGGGGAGCGAACA